rnacentral:rRNA from 1 species
UACAGAGGUCUCAAGCGUUGUUCGGAUUCAUUGGGCGUAAAGGGUGCGUAGGCGGCGCGGUAAGUCGGGUGUGAAAUCUCGGAGCUUAACUCCGAAACUGCAUUCGAUACUGCCGUGACUAGAGGUCGGUAGGGGAGUGUGGAAUUCCUGGUGGAGCGGUGAAAUGCGCAGAUAUCAGGAGGAACACCCGUAGCGAAGGCGGCACUCUGGGCCGAUACUGACACUGAGGAGCGAAAGCGUGGGGAGCGAACAGG